rfam:Phlebiopsis gigantea 11061_1 CR5-6 unplaced genomic scaffold PHLGIscaffold_32, whole genome shotgun sequence.
GGCCGCCUGGCGAAAUGGCAUCGCGUCUGACUACGAUUCAGUCGCAAUCAGGAGAUUGCAGGUUCGACCCCUGCGGUGGUCA